AUUCGCAUAAUUAUUGCACAGGCAUUAUUUCAACACCACAUACCAUUGCGCCAACAUAUUUUAUGAAGUGCUGGACUGGAUGCUAGGGAUAAUUUCUUUAAAUUUGUCACUAGUGUAGCGGUACGGAUAGUUUCCAUCCCGACCGCUAGAUGGCGAACCAUCGAGACUCGUUGGGGAAGAAGAGACAGGCAGUUGGGCGCGAGACGUGGAGCAGGAAAGAAGUCGGAGUAGCAGAGUCACCCCCAACAUUCCAGUUUAUUUUAUGCUUCCACUUAAUUUCCACUGCAAUAAAUCUGGAAUAAACAGUCCCGUAGCUCUUUAGCUUCAGAUUAUAUAAAAAAUAAGCUGGGAGUCUGUAUAAUCAUCUGGGAGGGUCCGAAAUCAUUUAAGAAUUUGAGGAAAUUUUGAAAUCCAAUGGGUUUUUACAUAUUUUUCUGAGCGGUGAGCGCCGACAAGCGUCUUACCAUUUCACCAGCAGCAGACUUUCGUCUGAAGCACAGGACGCUUAAUGAUGAUUUUCCGACCGACGAAUGUCUUGAAUGUCGAUGAAUUAGCUCAUCCGUCAUCUGGCAAAAUUUUAAGAAAGCGCGACUGAUCAAACGACAAUUAUUUAUCUGAAUCAAUCCACGAGACGAAAUAUAAUUUCCAAUGAUGAAAUAUCACAACGACCUCGCCGUGAUAAACCUUGUUACGUCCUUCUUUUGCUGUCGUGAUGUUUGCGAGUUCAGUUUAAAAAUUUGGCUUAGUAAGGUGGUUUUUAUGCCACUCGUCCAACAAAUCAAAUAGAAGAGCCUGAACGUCAAUUUCUGAAUCGCAACCUGGCUGACCUCGGUUCCUUAAAUUAUAGUCUCUUAAAACUGGUCCAAGAAAUUUUUUAACGAACCUGUACAUCUUCACCGUGAUCUUCAUCGCUUCGACGUACUCCGUCUUGUUCAUAUCGCCGGACAGCUGCGGAAUGUUUUCCUCUGACAAAAAUUUUGGCGCCGAAAGAGAAGAAACCUGUACUUCCAAUGGGCUAUUUUUCUUCAAAAUCAAUUCAUCUAGGACGCAUUUCACCUUCGCAUCCAAUGCUUUGAAAUUUCAUCAUAGUAGCCAUGAACUACGGAUUGUCUCCCAGCCAUGGAUGUUUCAAAGUUGUAUGUAUCAGAGGGCUCACUGGUAGAAAAAAAGUGAAGAUCAUUCUUCCGUUCAGCAAUCAUGACUUUAAGCAUUUCGUAGAUGUCCAACUGUUUCACUGUUUUGUCGACAAUAUUUUUUCUGCUCAAAAAAUUCCAUAAACACGGUCCGAAAUAGGCUGUCAAAGUGGCGAACAAUACAUAAGACAAAUCAACAGUU
rnacentral:lncRNA from 1 species